rnacentral:rRNA from 1 species
UAAGGAAUAUUGGUCAAUGGACGCAAGUCUGAACCAGCCAUACCGCGUGAAGGAUUAAGGUCCUCUGGAUUGUAAACUUCUUUUAUCUGGGACGAAAAAAGGCGAUUCUUCGUCACUUGACGGUACCAGAUGAAUAAGCACCGGCUAACUCCGUGCCAGCAGCCGCGGUAAUACGGAGGGUGCAAGCGUUAUCCGGAUUCACUGGGUUUAAAGGGUGCGUAGGCGGGCAGGUAAGUCAGUGGUGAAAUCCUAGAGCUUAACUCUAGAACUGCCAUUGAUACUAUCUGUCUUGAAUAUUGUGGAGGUAAGCGGAAUAUGUCAUGUAGCGGUGAAAUGCUUAGAUGCGACAUAGAACACCUAUUGCGAAGGCAGCUUACUACGCAUAUAUUGACGCUGAGGCACGAAAGCGUGGGGAUCAAACAGGAUUAGAUACCCUGGUAGUCCACGCCCUAAACGAUGAUUACUCGACAUUUGUGAUACACUAUAAGUGUCUGAGCGAAAGCAUUAAGUAAUCCACCU